rnacentral:rRNA from 1 species
UACGGAGGGUCCAAGCGUUAUCCGGAAUCAUUGGGUUUAAAGGGUCCGUAGGCGGUUUUGUAAGUCAGUGGUGAAAGCCCAUCGCUCAACGGUGGAACGGCCAUUGAUACUGCAAGACUUGAAUUAUUAGGAAGUAACUAGAAUAUGUAGUGUAGCGGUGAAAUGCUUAGAUAUUACAUGGAAUACCAAUUGCGAAGGCAGGUUACUACUAAUUGAUUGACGCUGAUGGACGAAAGCGUGGGUAGCGAACAGG